rnacentral:rRNA from 1 species
UACGUAGGUGGCAAGCGUUGUUCGGAAUGACUGGGCGUAAAGGGCGUGUAGGUGGACUGAUCAGUCGGGUGUGAAAUAUCUAGGCUCAACCUGGAGGGUGCAUCCGAUACGGUCAGUCUUGAGUGCAGGAGGGGGCAGUGGAAUUCCCAGUGUAGCGGUGAAAUGCGUAGAUAUUGGGAGGAACACCAGUGGCGAAGGCGGCUGCCUGGACUGUAACUGACACUGAGGCGCGAAAGCGUGGGGAGCAAACAGGAUUA